rnacentral:rRNA from 1 species
GGCGUGCCUAACACAUGCAAGUCGAGCGAAGCGGUUUUAAGGAAGUUUUCGGAUGGAAUUAAGACUGACUGAGCGGCGGACGGGUGAGUAACGCGUGGGUAACCUGCCUCAUACAGGGGGAUAACAGUUAGAAAUGGCUGCUAAUACCGCAUAAGCACACAGCUUCGCAUGGAGCAGUGUGAAAAACUCCGGUGGUAUGAGAUGGACCCGCGUCUGAUUAGCUAGUUGGUAAGGUAACGGCUUACCAAGGCGACGAUCAGUAGCCGACCUGAGAGGGUGACCGGCCACAUUGGGACUGAGACACGGCCCAAACUCCUACGGGAGGCAGCAGUGGGGAAUAUUGCACAAUGGGGGAAACCCUGAUGCAGCGACGCCGCGUGAGUGAAGAAGUAUCUCGGUAUGUAAAGCUCUAUCAGCAGGGAAGAAAAUGACGGUACCUGACUAAGAAGCCCCGGCUAACUACGUGCCAGCAGCCGCGGUAAUACGUAGGGGGCAAGCGUUAUCCGGAUUUACUGGGUGUAAAGGGAGCGUAGACGGCGGAGCAAGUCUGAAGUGAAAGCCCGGGGCUCAACCCCGGGACUGCUUUGGAAACUGUUCUGCUAGAGUGCUGGAGAGGUAAGUGGAAUUCCUAGUGUAGCGGUGAAAUGCGUAGAUAUUAGGAGGAACACCAGUGGCGAAGGCGGCUUACUGGACAGUAACUGACGUUGAGGCUCGAAAGCGUGGGGAGCAAAC